GACAGCAGUCGCCGCGGGAAUACGAAGGGUGCAAGCGUUACUCGGAAUUACUGGGCGUAAAGCGUGCGUAGGUGGUGGUUUAAGUCCGUUGUGAAAGCCCUGGGCUCAACCUGGGAAUUGCAGUGGAUACUGGGUCACUAGAGUGUGGUAGAGGAUAGUGGAAUUUCCGGUGUAGCAGUGAAAUGCGUAGAGAUCGGAAGGAACAUCUGUGGCGAAGGCGACUAUCUGGGCCAACACUGACACUGAGGCACGAAAGCGUGGGGAGCAAACAGGAUUAGAUACCCCCGUAGUCCCUGUCUCUUAUAC
rnacentral:rRNA from 1 species